UCGGACGUGGUGUAUGGUGCACGCCCACUUUGUCUUCUCGACACGUUGUGUAUACAAGUGGGAAGCCUGGGUUCGAUUCCCAGCGUCCGAA